AACAUGGCGGCAUGUUUGGAGAAGAGUGCUGGAAAAUUACUCACUUUUAUUAUGACUUCAAAACUUGAAAGAGAACGCUCCUUAAGCUUCUCUUUAGUUGGAAAUUAUGUUUUUCUUCGGUCUGGUCAUAUAUGUAUGAAGGAAUGGUCACAGGAAUGUACAACCAGACAAGGACUUGAAAGAGUUCAUGCGAACUCACAUCCUGAAUGGCACAGAGAACAGAGAGCAUAAGCAAGUAUGUGGUUUUACGGAGAUCUUACCAAAAGUCACGGUUGAGCAGUCAUCACUGGACCUCCUCUUCAUGCAGAGACCGGAUUGUGGCGAGCCCCUCGUGGAGGACAUCCCUCAAAAAAUGAAAAAGUUUGAUCGAAGUCAGUAGACGGUUUGAGAUGUGUAACCGAGAGUUAUUGAAAGACGAGAAGAGUUUUCAAAAUAGAAAAAUGGAAGAAAUAUUACGAUUCUCUUCCACGAGACUUGGCAAAUAUUGAUGUUGUUGUAAGGAACUGCGUCCGUCGUCUUGGAGGUCUGCUUGCGUAUUUAAAUUCUUCUUUUUAUCUGGCAAGGCAAUGCAGCUCAGUUUAUUCCUAUGGGAAAAGAGUGUCGAUGAAGACUUUCCUUCGGACGAUCAACUCCGACUGAAUGUUGUUAACCCUUUCACCCCCAAGAUCUCAUUAGUAAUUCUCCUUAUUGUCUGCCAUACAGCUCUUAUGGCGUUAGUUCAGAGAAUUUAGUAUUGGAUCAACUAAAAAUCCCAUAAUUGAUAUUUUUCUUUAUUCUCAUCACCUGCCUGCUUGAUAUUGUAUUGAUAUUGUAAGGAGAAAUUCUGUCUUGGUCACUUGUGGGAGUGAAAGGGUUAGUAUAACAAGUUAAUUGGGUUUUCUCAAGCUAACGUUUCAAGCGUUAGCCCUUUUUCACUCUAACGAAGGGUUGACGUUCGAAAGGUCAAUUUUCAAACUCUUUACGGUGGCCAAUUUACGUAAUAUCAACUCAGUUGAUAAACCAAAUUACCUUGUUAUACUCUUCCACCGACGCAGCACCAGUUUCUUUAGAAACUUACCCCCUUAUAUUAGAACGCUUAUCAUCUUCAAUACUAAAUCCGCUUCCCCAUUUAUUCAUUUGUUCUUUAUAUAAGAUCGUUUGAUCAAGAAUGGAAGAAAAAGACUGGAACAUUUUCGCGGCGUUUUGUGGCCACAAUAGUGUCUCUUUUAGCUUCUCUGUGGCCGGGAAAUGCGUCAUUUCAACCCAAAUAUCUUGCAUAUCGUCCAUUCUGCCAAGGCGUCGAUGAGAGUGUUUCUUCGAGUCUGCUGAAGCGAGUGGUUUGAAUUCGACGACGAAGAAGGAUGGAUGAAUGUCCUUUUGUCACAACUUUUCUCAAGGACAGCGUUAGGCACGGAAUGAGGCUGUCACCAAAUCAAGGCUAAAUCGAAUUGAAUUCAAGGGAGGAAAGGAAGACAAGGCAACUUACUAAAACGUCGACAGAUGCACGAAUAGAAAACAAGAAAAGGCUGUAAGACAAUAUUUAUCCAGAGGUAGAAAACAAAUGUAGCCCAUUUCUUCCAAGAUGCAGCGAGUCAACUAAGAGACAUUCACCAAAGUCGACGACUUGAAGCCAAACGUGAGCAAAUGGUGUGACGCGAUUUUGUUGGACUUUGAAAUUUUAUUUGUCGGCCUAAUAUCCAUGGCAUGGACUGCUUAAAAAUUUUUAAUUUUCCCGCCAAAAAACUUAGAAAAAAUACGGGUACCUUUAACUACGCAUGCGCCAAUUUUUUAUUUAGUCUGUAACUAACAUCUGUUCAGAUGUGGCUUAUUUUCCCGCCAAAAGACUUAGAAAAAUCGGCGCCUAAAAAUACGCAUGCGCCAUUUUUUUUUUUUUGUUGAUCGAAGUUGUAC